rnacentral:lncRNA from 1 species
GGGGACUAAGUGCGCAAAAAUCCCAUCAGACCCAAAAUGCGCUGGUCACAGCCACAUCUGGGUCGGGUCAUCGGGUAUAGGCCAAUACGGCACCGUUUUGGAGCCAUUGAAGCUGGCCCUAAACGGUGUCAUUUCUUAAACCCCAUAUAAACUAAAUCAAAACCCUAAAAUCCCUAAUGUUUGACCACCUCCUUUAAACUAUCAGAGAAAAAAAAAGGAAAAAACUAAGCCCCCUUUUCUUCUUACGCCGUUUCCUCAAAUCCCCUUCCUU